GAUGAACGCUGGCGGCGUGCCUAAUACAUGCAAGUCGAGCGAACGGACGAGAAGCUUGCUUCUCUGAUGUUAGCGGCGGACGGGUGAGUAACACGUGGAUAACCUACCUAUAAGACUGGGAUAACUUCGGGAAACCGGAGCUAAUACCGGAUAAUAUUUUGAACCGCAUGGUUCAAAAGUGAAAGACGGUCUUGCUGUCACUUAUAGAUGGAUCCGCGCUGCAUUAGCUAGUUGGUAAGGUAACGGCUUACCAAGGCAACGAUGCAUAGCCGACCUGAGAGGGUGGUCGGCCACACUGGAACUGAGACACGGCCCAGACUCCUACGGGAGGCAGCAGUAGGGAAUCUUCCGCGAUGGGCGAAAGCCUGACGGAGCAACGCCGCGUGAGUGAUGAAGGUCUUCGGAUCGUAAAGCUCUGUUAUUAGGGAAGAACAUAUGUGUAAGUAACUGUGCACAUCUUGACGGUACCUAAUCAGAAAGCCACGGCUAACUCCGUG
rnacentral:rRNA from 1 species